UACGUAGGGGGCUAGCGUUGUCCGGAUUUAUUGGGCGUAAAGAGCGUGUAGGCGGCCAGGUAGGUCUGGUGUGAAAACUCGAGGCUUAACCUUGAGAUGUCAUCGGAAACCAUUUGGCUAGAGUCCGGAAGAGGAAAGUGGAAUUCCUGGUGUAGCGGUGAAAUGCGUAGAUAUCAGGAGGAACACCGGUGGUGUAGACGGCUCACUGGACCGUAACUGACGCUGAGACACGAAAGCGUGGGUAGCAAACAGG
rnacentral:rRNA from 1 species